GCUCCAAGCUAACCUAUAUCCUGCUUUAUCGUGUUCUCCUUUCUCAAUUUUUGUCCACCACAGACUCUUUCAUCUCCGCUGCUUUCUGUCUUCUCUCCAUCUCUGAACUCUUUCAUCUCCUCUCCAUCUCUGCAUGAAGAACUUCAUCUCUUUCAGCUCUAAAACCACAGAAAUCAACAUCCUGUUUAUAGAUGAACUUGUAAACUUGAUUGGUUAAGAGUUUCUUGGAGAUUGAAGAAAGAUGAAAGCAGUGGAAGUUAGGUUUAGGGUUUCUGUAGAUGAAGAUUAGGAAUUCGUUUUGGUGAUGUAUAAGAAGGAUUAGGAUGGGUUUAGUUGAUUGAGGAAAGGUUUAUGGUUAAUUAGAUGUUCUGAAGCUGUUCUGAAGAUGAAUUGAAGAAAUUAGGGUUUGAGUUUCUUAUUUGGGAAUCAAUUGAUGAAACUGAUCAACCAGUCGAGGAUAUGGUUUUUAUUGUAAGAGGGGUUGAAUCUGUUGAAGAAGAAAUUAAAAGAACUGAUAAUGAUUAUGAGUUUCUUUGUAUCUCAGGGAAGAAGUUCAAGUCGGGAAUUUGAGUUCGUACUUGAGGGUUUCCAAUUUUCUGUAAUUUCGAGCUUUUUGAAUCGAUUUGUUGAACUCAAUACGAGGAUUAACCAGUUGAGGGUGUUAUGAGAAGGAGAUGAAGUGGAUGUUGAAAGUAACAAAGAAGAUGUUGUUGUUGAGGGUGUGGUUGUAUUCAGGUGUAAGCGAUUCAGGUGAAAGUGCUAGAGAGGCUACUACAUCAUCUCCUAAGAUGGAUGUGAUUGAGGAAAAAGGAAUUUUAUCCCUGGUCAAGCUAACAAGAAGUGGGUUGCUUCUUUCUACAUUUCCUAGAAGCUGCUCUCCUGACACUGUCGAUAUUGUGUUGAAAAUAUUUGAGUCUUUAGGUUCUGGGAAUCUUGAUUUAGUUAAACUACUAAGUAUGUUUGAUGUAAGGAAGAAUCUUUCUCGAAGCACUCGUUUUGACAUCAGCUGUGGUUUGUUCGUUGACUGGAUACACUUUCUGGGCUGCUAAGUAGGGCAGUCUAGGACCCAUAUUGUUUACCUGUCUCAUGGUCCCUAUCCUAUCUAUCUGGAUCAUACAGGUUAAUUGAAUGAUGCUUUGUUGUGAGAUCAGAAAUUAAGGCUGGAGAGCAAAGAAGCAGCCAUUAGGUCCCUUAGCAGCUGCAAGAUUUGUAAGUUUAUGUACUAUCUCCUUAUAGUGAUUUAAGUUAGAAGAACUUGGGAAUUUCGUAACUUUCCAUGAACUGAACUUAGGAACCAACUAUGUUUCUAAUGUGUACACUAGUUUGUUGUGAUACUAAGAAUACAUUGGUAUCAAAUACUCAUACUUUUUCAUAAUAUGAUACAGUUUUGUAUGUUGAA